UUGAAAAUGGCGCCAGCAGGCACAGGGCAUUGCAUAGAGCUCUCGGGUUCAAGAUUUAGCCACUGUCAUAUACCCACUGCUGUUGAACUUGAAGGCAUCACUUCCCUCUGCUCCUGUACCGGCCUGCCAGUGGCUGAACUUGGUGCAGGAUGGGUCACUGCCAUAUCGGAGAUGCCAGCUGGCCUCCCCUGUCUUCCUGGUCAUCACUCAGGGCAGGAGGAAUCCGUCAGCGCCUGGUGCCACGUGCCUCUCGUUAGAAGGCUGAGCCCAUCUACCACCCUGUCACUGCCACCUUUAUUCACCCAUUCCUUUAAAACAAAUGAAUUCCUAUGAUAUGUCCGGCAUCAUGCUGGGUGCUGCGGCGAUUACAGAGGGAAAUAAGAUAUACUGCCAGUCCUCAAGGAGUUUGCAGUCCAGUAGGGGAAAAACACAUCUAGAUCCUGUAAACUAAAAAUAAAAUCCUAAGCCCCCCCACCCCCACCCAACCAUCUAAACGGACUUCCUCCUCAGCCAGGGCAGUCUUAAAAUUUAACCUGAAAGCCUGGUUCAGGCCAUGAAGGACGUGGGGGUCGGACACGCCUGAUUAUGUUGACCUCUCCAGCGUUAACGUCAACACAGACUUUAAGAAACAUUUGACAGCCUGUUCUCCCUGAAGUCUGACAGCUAAAAGUUUCAUCUGCAUCAUCAAGCUUUGGUCUUCACAGUGUCUUAUCGCAGCCCAAACAUUCCCUUUCUCUUGAUCCCAGAUCUUCAGACAAACUCAACCAAUUGUCAACUAGAAAAUGUUUAAAUUCACCUACAGCCUGCAAGCCUCCUACUCUGAGUUGCCCCACCUUUCUGAACCAAACCAAUGUAUUUCUUAAAUGUACUUGAUCGAUGUCUCAUGCUUCCCUAAAAUGUAUGAAACCAAGCUGCACCCCGACCACCCUGGGCACAUGUCAGGACUUCCUGAGGCUGUGUCACGGGUGUGCGUUCUCAACCUUGGCAAAAUAAAGUUUCUAAAUUAACUGAGACCUGUCUCAGAUUUUCUGGGUCUACCACCCUGCUGUACCAGAAGGGUCAGGAGACAGCCAGAGAAAGAGGUUCAGGGGGAUGAAGCACCCCCAGCAGUGCCAAGUCACCUUCUACAGCUCGACUCACUCAACCAUCCAAGACCACUUGGCUUUUUUUUUUUUUUUUUCCUGCACAAGCUGUGCUUUGAAGUGUGUGGGGUCUUAAAAAUCCUGCCCAUUCUAUUUUGAUCAGGCUUCUGUCGUCUGCAUUGCCAUCCUGGGACAAGCUGUCAGUCACUGUCUCCCUGAAAUGCACGUGGAAAUGCACAGGCUAAUCUAGGGACAGCUGGAUACAUGACUAAUAGUAACGAGGAGCUCAUGAGAGCCUGUGAGUUGAGAUGCGGUGGAGAUGGACUGGUCGUUAGCGUUCCCCAGGUUUAUAACCUUCCUUUCUGCACCCCUCAUGCCUUCCUGUAGUUGUCAGCAUCCUGGAUUUUCCUGAUCAGGGGGCAAAGAGAAUGGGGGCUUUCCCCGGGGCUUGACGUGGCGGCUGGACCCACACUGCAGGAUGUCCCGC
ensembl:lncRNA